rnacentral:misc_RNA from 1 species
GAUGAAGAACGUAGCGAAAUGCGAUAAGUAAUGUGAAUUGCAGAAUUCAGUGAAUCAUCGAAUCUUUGAACGCACCUUGCGCUCCUUGGUAUUCCGAGGAGCAUGUCUGUUUGAGUGUCAUGAAAUUCUCAACCUUUUCAGCUUUCUUUGUUGAUCAGGCUUGGAUGUGGGAGUAUGCGGGCUUCUCAGAAGUCGGCUCUCCUGAAAUGCAUUAGCGGGACCUUUGUUGCCUGGCUUUGGUGUGAUAAUUAUCUACGCCAUUGUAGUCAAGCAGCUUAAAAUGAGGUUUCAGCUUCUAACCGUCUCCCCUGAGACAACUUUUUGACAAUUUGACCUCAAAUCAGGUAGGACUACCCGCUGAACUUACGCAUAUCAAUAAGCGGAGGA